rnacentral:rRNA from 1 species
UACGAAGGGGGCUAGCGUUGUUCGGAAUCACUGGGCGUAAAGCGCACGUAGGCGGAUUUUUAAGUCAGGGGUGAAAUCCCGAGGCUCAACCUCGGAACUGCCUUUGAUACUGGAGAUCUUGAGUCCGGAAGAGGUAAGUGGAACUGCGAGUGUAGAGGUGAAAAUUCGUAGAUAUUCGCAAGAACACCAGUGGCGAAGGCGGCUUACUGGUCCGGAAC